GUUUUUAUACUUUAAACUUUAUAGAAGAUCUAUUUUGCAUAUAGAAAGUAACUUUUUUAUGUUUUAAAACA
rnacentral:tRNA from 1 species